GAUAAUUCUGCGUCGUAGCCAUAGUAACAGCCAGACUAUGGCGUACACCCGGAGCCAGGUCCAGUUAAAAUAGUAUUUUGUGAUUAUUUUCGCCUUCAUUACGAGCGAGGCGCUUUAUAGUGGGAGACAAGGAGAGAUCUAUGGAGGCGGAGCAGGAGAAGGAGAGGGAAAUGAAGAUGGUUCUUCACUGUCCUCCGAUCUACCCACUGCCUGAAGAAAUAAAAAAGAUGGAGCGCAGUGAGACGGUGUGCCGUUACUGUGGUGUAAGCUACCUCAUUUACCAUGAGUUCCAUCAGCUCCACACCCGACUGGCUCAGUUGGAGACUGAGCUCCAGGAACUUAGAGAUACCGCCCAGAGAGAGAAGGUCCAGCGAGAAGCAUUGGGGCUGGACAGGCUGGAGUGGGAGAAGGCACUUCACCUGGAGGUGCAGAGAAAAGCAGAAAAGAAAUGAGAGGAGCAGGAGAGGAGAACUGGAGGAGGAGAACAGAGAAAUUGAAAGAGUUCUGAGACAGGAGUUUGAAGAAAAAAAUCAAAGGAAGAAGAGCGACGUGGAAGAGGAGUAUCAGAAAAUCAGUGAGGAAAAAGAGAAACAACUUAGAACCGAGCCAGGAAACUUAGAGGUGAAGAGACUGAGGAGGGAGAGAGAAUAGCUGGAGAAGAGAGCCGAGGAGAGAGAGAAAGUUCUGAGUGACACACUUCAAAAGGCCAAUAAAAAUUUAGACGAGCUGAAAGAAUACCUCCAACAGCUGGAAGAGAGGUGAGGUCUGUGUGUGUUUGUCCGUGCUUCCUGUCCAUAGUGUGAAAUGAUCUCUAAUACCAGGCUUCAUGUGGGCAAUUAUCCUGUGAAUCAUGCUGUUAACACAAAAACCCACAAACACGCUCUCGCCAGCUAAUGCAUCCCAUUAGCUGGCGUGUGUAUGUGCAUCUCUGACACAAGCCUUGCUGUAUAGUUACAGUAUAUAUUCCUCUGUCAUCUUCAGUGCCUUCAUCAUCAUCCAGUACCUAACAAAUGGAAAAUAGAUAUUGUAAAUGAAGUUCUGUAAAACACCUAAAAAAAGUGAGAUUUUAUACCAAACUUGUUUGAUUAACUGAUUAAAUACCAAGUGUUUUAGUUUAUUUUCCUUGGAACUGGAUUGUUUGGUUUGCUUACAGAAUGGAAUUGGUUUUUUUUUCCCCCAAAAACAUGCAUAUUCAUACACACGGAUGUAAGCAGAGUUUGACUUAAUAUGGGAGGAAAUCCUCUGUUUGUGAACACAUUGUUUGACAAACAUCCUCCUCAUUUUAUCAGAGAUUUAAAAAUGUCUUUCAUGCUUUUAUUUAGUAAAAACGAAAUAAAAUAAGACCACAUUGCUGUGCCUUGGAUCAGUGUCCAGAAAUGAUGCAUGAGGGGGUACACUCUGUUUUAGUAUUAGAUGUGUGGAGGAGAAAAGAUAUCCCUAUUAGUUACAUAAUGUUGCAAAGAUAAAUAUAGUUUGUUUUCUCCUGAAGGGCAAUAGGUGACUGCAGCUGUUCGUUCAUAUACCUUUCUACUGAAUAGAUGGACUGCCAAGUUCUUACUUUCCUGUCUAGUCAGGCUCAUGUACACCUGUGAACUCUUUGCACAGCCAGGCUAGCCACAGCACCUGCAACUGGUCAUCACUGCUGUACCGUUAA